rnacentral:rRNA from 1 species
AUGAAUGAGGCAAACACAACUUAUGCACAUGCGGUUCUAUCCAGUGGAGUGACCAUGGCACUAGAUGGGACUGAAGUUCUAUGUUACCCUGUGAAAAAUGUUGGUGUGCCAAUGGAAGCAACACUGUACGAUUUUCAGAUUGAGGAAAUGAUGGAGACAGCGACUGCACAUCUAAAGGUAAAGAUCUAUGGUUUGCCGUUACAUCUUUGGACUAGAAGAGCAAUUGAGCGUGCCCUGCAGCCACAUUGCAUUGUUGAGAAUGUUAGUCAAGCCAAUCUCAGCUUUUGCAAGCUUCGAUCAGUAAAUUACACGGCAUGGGCUGUUAGAACUGCUGUGCCAUUCCCAUGGUAUAUACUUGUUCAUGUCUCCAGCAAGUAUGACAAAGGAAGAAACCAAAGCAGUGGCCACAAGAACACAGAGACAUUUUGUAUUGGUGUUGACAGAAUUAAUAUUGGAGCUCCUCAUAACAAGUCUCUUCAAAGAACACACAGGAGGAUUCCUUCUUUCUUGCAGGCACUAAAGAAAGGAAUGGUUUCCCAUUCAUAUUUAAAUGAUGUUGACAUACCAGCUGACCAAAUGCGGAUAUUGGAAUCAUCAUUCCUCCUGACGUCUUGUGACGAGGGAAAAAUUAUCACAGAGGAUAAGUUAACACGCUGUUUGCAGCAAAUGCAGAUUGAAUGUCCUGGAAAAGUCAUAGUCAAGCAAGUUGGUAGGUUCAAAUACCUUAUAUAUUUCCAAGGGCCAGUAACUACAACUUUGUUUCACAUGUUGUCUACUGAUGCUGCUGGAAUCUAG